rnacentral:misc_RNA from 1 species
UUGUGGAGGAGGACGCCGAAGGUGGGGCUAAUGACUGGGGUGAAGUCGUAACAAGGUAGCCGUACCGGAAGGUGCGGCUGGAUCACCUCCUAACAGGGAGACAACAAAAUGUUUAAUAUUAUUAUUUUGUCACCUUAGGUCGAUCGGUAUCUCACGUUCUUAAUUUAUUAAGGAUUUCAUUUCCUAAGUUUUUCUAGGUCACACCCAUUAUUUUCCUGGGCCAUUAGCUCAGGUGGUUAGAGCGCACCCCUGAUAAGGGUGAGGUCCCUGGUUCAAGUCCAGGAUGGCCCAUAUCUCUAUGUUGGGGGUAUAGCUCAGUUGGUAGAGCGCCUGCUUUGCAAGCAGGAUGUCAGCGGUUCGAGUCCGCUUACCUCCACUGAUUACCACCUCUUUCAUAUUUUUUUGAAAAGGAAAUGUUUUGAGUCGUGAUCAAAAUCUGAACGAAUCUAGCUUCCUAAUGUAAUCAUUAAGAUGCUGGACUCAUUGAAUUAAUUUCAUUGUUUUCAGAGAACCUUGACAACUGCAUAGAUUAUUUUUAAAGACAAUAAGCAUCUUUAAUGAUGCAGAUUUAUUAUUUGUGCGAAUGCAUUAAUAACAAUUCUAUUAAGCUGAUGCUUCAAUUUUGAAGUUAUUGGUCAAGCUACAA